CUAAGGAUGAUCUUAGCAGCAAGACUUUUGUCUUACUCGUAGAUCACUUAGCAUGAUAUGUCCUUUGCAUAUCAACACAUCAGUUCAUCUUUUGAUGGACUUGGGCCGAGCCGUCCUCAUAUCUCUUCAGAAAUUGCAAGCCUUGAGCUUGUAUAAACCGCCUGAUUGGACCACCACCGGCCCUUUCGGCAGACUUGCUUUGCAAGUCACCUGUCGGGCGUUGUCGAUCUUGUUUUGCAAGAUCCACUGGGUCGGUAGCUCAGGUGGUUAGAGCGCACGCCUGAUAAGCGUGAGGUCGGAGGUUCAAGUCCUCCUCGACCCACCAUAGAUUACCCUUAAAAGGGGCGUUAGCUCAGCUGGGAGAGCACCUGCUUUGCAAGCAGGGGGUCAUCGGUUCGAUCCCGAUACGCUCCACCAAGGAUUUAAGUUUGAAAGUUAAGCAACUUUAGUUGUUUUGCUGUCCAACUUGGACUUUGUUCAGUCUUUGGACUGACUUGACAUCGUAAAGAGAGAUACAAACAUCAGAAUUACUGAUGCACCAAGUAAGGUGUAUCGUGAUGUUGUUUGGCAUCGCGUAAGAUGGGUAGGAGUGAUCUUAUCUUUUGUCAGCGGUGCCUUUUAUAGCAACAGUUCACAAAGUAAUUUUGUUCCAAGUUAAGUACAAUUAUACCUGAGCAAAUCCGCAAGGUUUUGCUCAUCGUCGCUGCUCUAUCCGGGCAGUGGCGGCACGAAUGUUGCCCCCUCUUUGAACCAGCGGGGGCCCAUGGGAAUAAUUUUGUAUGACUUUUGGUUCAGAAUUUAGUCAUCUUCGGAUGAUGUUGGCAGGACACGCAAAAGGCCUGUCUUCUUCU
rnacentral:tRNA from 1 species